AUGAUUCCGGUUGAUCCUGCCGGAGGCCACUGCUAUUGGAAUCCGACUAAGCCAUGCGAGUCGAGAGGGUUCGGCCCUCGGCGGAC
rnacentral:rRNA from 1 species